rnacentral:rRNA from 1 species
GAAACAAAAACGACUCUCGGCAACGGAUAUCUCGGCUCUCGCAUCGAUGAAGAACGUAGCGAACUGCGAUACUUGGUGUGAAUUGCAGAAUCCCGUGAACCAUCGAGUCUUUGAACGCAAGUUGCGCCCAAAGCCAUUAGGCCGAGGGCACGUCUGCCUGGGCGUCACGCAUCGCG